AGUUUGGAGAUUUGGCAGACUGGUGUGAGCCGAGAUGAGGACACCGACACAUUGAGGGAGACAACGAGAGAAGGAGCUAUGGUGAAAGAUUGACUGGAUAAAGGCUUAAUGUUCGGACAGCGAUGGCAACUACAGAAGGACAACUAAGGACAUGAAAUGAGCUCGAGCAGCAACGUGCCCUGCUGUUCAACUUUCGGCUUCAAAACAGAACUCGGGAAUUGGCGACCCAACAGCGUUAUCGGCAUUGUAAAAG